rnacentral:rRNA from 1 species
UAAGUUAGAAAGGGCGCACGGUGGAUGCCUUGACACUAGGAGUCGAUGAAGGACGGGACUAACGCCGAUAUGCUUCGGGGAGCUGUAAGUAAGCUUUGAUCCGAAGAUUUCCGAAUGGGGAAACCCACCAUACGUAAUGGUAUGGUAUCCUUAUCUGAAUACAUAGGGUAAGGAAGACAGACCCAGGGAACUGAAACAUCUAAGUACCUGGAGGAAGAGAAAGCAAAUGCGAUUUCCUGAGUAGCGGCGAGCGAAACGGAACAUAGCCCAAACCAAGAGGCUUGCCUCUUGGGGUUGUAGGACAUUCUAUACGGAGUUACAAAGGAACGAGGUAGACGAAGCGACCUGGAAAGGUCCGUCGUAGAGGGUAACAACCCCGUAGUCGAAACUUCGUUCUCUCUUGAAUGUAUCCUGAGUACGGCGGAACACGUGAAAUUCCGUCGGAAUCUGGGAGGACCAUCUCCCAAGGCUAAAUACUCCCUAGUGAUCGAUAGUGAACCAGUACCGUGAGGGAAAGGUGAAAAGCACCCCGGAAGGGGAGUGAAAGAGAUCCUGAAACCGUGUGCCUACAAAUAGUCAGAGCCCGUUAACGGGUGAUGGCGUGCCUUUUGUAGAAUGAACCGGCGAGUUACGAUCCCGUGCGAGGUUAAGCUGAAGAGGCGGAGCCGCAGCGAAAGCGAGUCUGAAUAGGGCGUUUAGUACGUGGUCGUAGACCCGAAACCAGGUGAUCUACCCAUGUCCAGGGUGAAGUUCAGGUAACACUGAAUGGAGGCCCGAACCCACGCACGUUGAAAAGUGCGGGGAUGAGGUGUGGGUAGCGGAGAAAUUCCAAUCGAACCUGGAGAUAGCUGGUUCUCCCCGAAAUAGCUUUAGGGCUAGCCUUAAGUGUAAGAGUCUUGGAGGUAGAGCACUGAUUGGACUAGGGGUCCUCAUCGGAUUACCGAAUUCAGUCAAACUCCGAAUGCCAAUGACUUAUCCUUAGGAGUCAGACUGCGAGUGAUAAGAUCCGUAGUCAAAAGGGAACAGCCCAGACCGCCAGCUAAGGUCCCAAAGUGUGUAUUAAGUGGAAAAGGAUGUGGAGUUGCUUAGACAACUAGGAUGUUGGCUUAGAAGCAGCCACCAUUUAAAGAGUGCGUAAUAGCUCACUAGUCGAGUGACUCUGCGCCGAAAAUGUACCGGGGCUAAAUACACCACCGAAGCUGCGGAUUGAUACCAAUGGUAUCAGUGGUAGGGGAGCGUUCUAAGGACUGUGAAGUCAGACCGGAAGGACUGGUGGAGUGCUUAGAAGUGAGAAUGCCGGUAUGAGUAGCGAAAGACGGGUGAGAAUCCCGUCCACCGAAUGCCUAAGGUUUCCUGAGGAAGGCUCGUCCGCUCAGGGUUAGUCAGGACCUAAGCCGAGGCCGACAGGCGUAGGCGAUGGACAACAGGUUGAUAUUCCUGUACCACCUCUUUAUCGUUUGAGCAAUGGAGGGACGCAGAAGGAUAGAAGAAGCGUGCGAUUGGUUGUGCACGUCCAAGCAGUUAGGCUGAUAAGUAGGCAAAUCCGCUUAUCGUGAAGGCUGAGCUGUGAUGGGGAAGCUCCUUAUGGAGCGAAGUCUUUGAUUCCCCGCUGCCAAGAAAAGCUUCUAGCGAGAUAAAAGGUGCCUGUACCGCAAACCGACACAGGUAGGCGAGGAGAGAAUCCUAAGGUGUGCGAGAGAACUCUGGUUAAGGAACUCGGCAAAAUGACCCCGUAACUUCGGGAGAAGGGGUGCUUUCUUAACGGAAAGCCGCAGUGAAUAGGCCCAAGCGACUGUUUAGCAAAAACACAGCUCUCUGCGAAGCCGUAAGGCGAAGUAUAGGGGGUGACACCUGCCCGGUGCUGGAAGGUUAAGGAGAGGGGUUAGCGUAAGCGAAGCUCUGAACUGAAGCCCCAGUAAACGGCGGCCGUAACUAUAACGGUCCUAAGGUAGCGAAAUUCCUUGUCGGGUAAGUUCCGACCCGCACGAAAGGUGUAACGAUUUGGGCACUGUCUCAACCAGAGACUCGGUGAAAUUAUAGUACCUGUGAAGAUGCAGGUUACCCGCGACAGGACGGAAAGACCCCGUGGAGCUUUACUGUAGCCUGAUAUUGAAUUUUGGUACAGUUUGUACAGGAUAGGCGGGAGCCUUUGAAACCGGAGCGCUAGCUUCGGUGGAGGCGCUGGUGGGAUACCGCCCUGACUGUAUUGAAAUUCUAACCUACGGGUCUUAUCGACCCGGGAGACAGUGUCAGGUGGGCAGUUUGACUGGGGCGGUCGCCUCCUAAAGUGUAACGGAGGCGCCCAAAGGUUCCCUCAGAAUGGUUGGAAAUCAUUCGUAGAGUGCAAAGGCAUAAGGGAGCUUGACUGCGAGACCUACAAGUCGAGCAGGGACGAAAGUCGGGCUUAGUGAUCCGGUGGUUCCGCAUGGAAGGGCCAUCGCUCAACGGAUAAAAGCUACCCCGGGGAUAACAGGCUUAUCUCCCCCAAGAGUCCACAUCGACGGGGAGGUUUGGCACCUCGAUGUCGGCUCAUCGCAUCCUGGGGCUGUAGUCGGUCCCAAGGGUUGGCUGUUCGCCCAUUAAAGCGGUACGCGAGCUGGGUUCAGAACGUCGUGAGACAGUUCGGUCCCUAUCCGUCGUGGGCGUAGGAAAUUUGAGAGGAGCCGUCCUUAGUACGAGAGGACCGGGAUGGACGCACCGCUGGUGUACCAGUUGUUCUGCCAAGGGCAUAGCUGGGUAGCUAUGUGCGGAAGGGAUAAGUGCUGAAAGCAUCUAAGCAUGAAGCCCCCCUCAAGAUGAGAUUUCCCAUAGCGUAAGCUAGUAAGAUCCCUGAAAGAUGAUCAGGUUGAUAGGUUCGAGGUGGAAGCAUGGUGACAUGUGGAGCUGACGAAUACUAAUAGAUCGAGGACUUAACCA